rnacentral:rRNA from 1 species
UUGGGGUCGAGUUGUAAUUUGCAGAGGGUGUUUCGGGCACGGUGCCGGUUUAAGUCCUUUGGAACAGGGCGUCAUAGAGGGUGAGAACCCCGUAUGUGACCGGUCGCCAAACCCAUGUGAAACCCCUUCGACGAGUCGAGUUGUUUGGGAAUGCAGCUCAAAAUGGGUGGUAAAUUUCAUCUAAAGCUAAAUAUUGGCCAGAGACCGAUAGCGCACAAGUAGAGUGAUCGAAAGAUGAAAAGCACUUUGGAAAGAGAGUCAAACAGCACGUGAAAUUGUUGAAAGGGAAGCGCUUGCGACCAGACCUGCUCGCGGGUGAUCAGCGGUGCUUUUCGCGCCGUGCACUCAUCCGCGAUCAGGCCAGCAUCGGUUCAGGCGGCCGGAUAAAGACUCGGAGAAUGUAGCUCCCUCCGGGGAGUGUUAUAGCUCCUUGUGCAAUACGGCCAGCCGGGACCGAGGACCGCGCUUCGGCUAGGAUGCUGGCGUAAUGGUCGUAAGCGACCCGUCUUGAAACACGGACCAAGGAGUCUAACAUCUGUGCGAGUGUUUGGGCGUCAAACCCAUGCGCGCAAUGAAAGUGAACGUGAGGUGGGAACCCUUUCGGGGGCGCACCAUCGACCGAUCCAGAUGUCUUCGGAUGGAUUUGAGUAAGAGCACAGCUGUUGGGACCCGAAAGAUGGUGAACUAUGCCUGAAUAGGGUGAAGCCAGAGGAAACUCUGGUGGAGGCUCGCAGCGGUUCUGACGUGCAAAUCGAUCGUCAAAUUUGGGUAUAGGGGCGAAAGACUAAUCGA